rnacentral:rRNA from 1 species
AGAGUUUGAUCAUGGCUCAGAUUGAACGCUGGCGGCAUGCCUUACACAUGCAAGUCGAACGCGAAAGGGGGCAACCCUGAGUAGAGUGGCGAACGGGUGAGCAAUACAUCGGAACACGUCCUGUAGCGGGGGACAACCUCGAGAAAUCGAGGCUAAUACCGCAUACGAUCUAAGGAUGAAAGUGGGGGACCGCAAGGCCCCACACUAUAGGAGUGGCCGAUGCCGGAUUAGCUUGUUGGCGGGGUAAAAGCCCACCAAGGCGACGAUCCGUAGCUGGUUUGAGAGAACGACCAGCCACACUGGGACUGAGACACGGCCCAGACUCCUACGGGAGGCAGCAGUGGGGAAUUUUGGACAAUGGGCGCAAGCCUGAUCCAGCCAUGCCGCGUGAGUGAAGAAGGCCUUCGGGUUGUAAAGCUCUUUCGGCCGGGACGAAAUGGCGCGGGGUAACAUCCCGCGUCGAUGACGGUACCGGAAGAAGAAGGACCGGCUAACUACGUGCCAGCAGCCGCGGUAAUACGUAGGGUCCAAGCGUUAAUCGGAAUUACUGGGCGUAAAGCGUGUGCAGGUGGUUUCGAAAGUCCGAUGUGAAAUCCCCGGGCUUAACCUGGGAACUGCGUUGGAAACUACGAAGCUAGAGUGCGGCAGAGGGGGGUGGAAUUCCAGGUGUAGCAGUGAAAUGCGUAGAUAUCUGGAGGAACACCGAUGGCGAAGGCAGCCCCCUGGGCUAGCACUGACGCUCAUACACGAAAGCGUGGGGAGCAAACAGGAUUAGAUACCCCUGUAGUCC